CCUACGGGGGGCAGCAGUGGGGAAUAUUGCACAAUGGGGGAAACCCUGAUGCAGCGACGCCGCGUGAAGGAUGAAGUAUUUCGGUAUGUAAACUUCUAUCAGCAGGGAAGAAAGUGACGGUACCUGACUAAGAAGCCCCGGCUAACUACGUGCCAGCAGCCGCGGUAAUACGUAGGGGGCAAGCGUUAUCCGGAUUUACUGGGUGUAAAGGGAGCGUAGACGGGAUAGCAAGUCUGAAGUGAAAGCCCGGGGCUCAACCCCGGGACUGCUUUGGAAACUGUUGACCUGGAGUGCUGGAGAGGCAAGUGGAAUUCCUAGUGUAGCGGUGAAAUGCGUAGAUAUUAGGAGGAACACCAGUGGCGAAGGCGGCGUGCUGGACAGUGACUGACGUUGAGGCUCGAAAGCGUGGGGAGCAAACAGGAUUAGAUACCCUUGUAGUC
rnacentral:rRNA from 1 species